GCGCGGGCCUCUGGGCCCAUCUCGGGCCGCGUGCCCGCACCGCCGCCGUCGGGCCGCCGGGCCACGGAGAUCCUCGCGGGUGUUUGGGGCGCUUCGGUCGCACCCCGGCCGACAGAGGCCGAGGCCCGGAUGGACGCGCGGGCAGCAGACCCUCCGACCCUCGGGCGGCCGGACCCGCUCCUCUCCCGGUACACAGUCCCUCCGCAGGGCCUCGGCGACGAAGGCUCCAGAAACGCCGGCCUCUGCCCCCCGGGCUUUCCCGCCGCGUGUACCCCGCUCUGCGUGACCGCGGAACUGGGUGUCACCUUGUGCGGGUCCACCGCGUGUGGCUGUGGCCCGGGCGGGGAACAGGCCCGUGACCGGGCUGUGAGCGAGUGCGCGGGGUUCCCUGCGGACGCUUCCUUUGUUUCCGCCCGUCCUCCCUGCGGGCCUGGUGGGGUGAGCAGCGGGGUGAGCAGCGGGUCCCAGGCCGAGGGUUGACAAGGGCUGGCCGAUGAAGAGGGGGGGCGUCGCUUCCUCCCCCUCCCACCUCCAGAUGCCGUGGCUCCUUCCCCGGGGGCAAGACUUGAAUGGAGUUGGCUCAAUGCACCACCACUGCGUGGAGCGCCAUUCCCGGCAGGAGGCCAGUCGGGCAGGGACAAGAGCUGAGGUCCCAGUCAGACAGCCCUCAGGGCCUCAUCUCUUCGGCUCUUCUUGGAGUGACUCUGGACAUGUCACAGCCCGCUCUGAGCCUUCGUUUCCUGUGCGUAGAAAGGGGCAGGUAGUUCCCAUCUCAAAGCAGCUGCAAAGGACUGAGUCAAAGCAGCCCGGCUGGAGGGGCAGGACCGGCUGUCCCGGGAGCAUCGCAUCAAGGGAGAAGCAGGGCUUUUUAGGGCUGCACUUGUGA
rnacentral:lncRNA from 1 species